rnacentral:lncRNA from 1 species
AUUCUCCCUUAAAAUAUUGUCUAUACUAUUAAUCUGUAAGCAAAUGCUUUAUUUCAUAGAGAGUUAGAAAGGUAAGUUUCAGGUCAGCUCACAUCUGAAUUAUGAUGGAUUCCAAAUUAGCAAAAUUCAAAUUAAUGAUGUUUUGCUGUACUGGUCUGGUUUUUGCUUUUUCUUUUCUUUUUCCCUGGACAGAGUACAGAUGCAGUGCUCUGGAUUCUAAUCCUUUGUCUUAUAUCUCAAUGCACAUUUGUUCUUCUCUUAGAUAUUUAAAUACAUAGGACUUCAUCAUUUUCAAGGUGAUUAAUAUGCAUUUUUUAUUUGUCCACAAAUGACCACUCUCUUCUCUCUCCUAGUUAUCAGGUUGUUAUGAAAAUGCAAGGUAGUAUUUCAGCAGAUGGCUAAAUUUAAUUUUUUUUCUUUUUACAGUUUCACAGAAAAAAAAGUGUUAAGAAUUGUUCUUAACCGCUUCAGACUCCAGAGCGCGAAGGUCUGUUGCAGAUGUUCGGACAUCAAGUCUAGACAAUUCAGCUGUGCCCUUGAGUUAAUGGUGUUUAUGCUGCUGUUGCAUCCUGUUUUCUAGCUUUGAUGGCAGGAGAAACACAUGUUCUGCCCUGUAUCGAUGGGGUUUAAGUCAGAAGAUGGAAAUCUGCUUCAGAUCCAAAGAAAGGUGAAAAAUUGCAG